AUCUUGUUUAAAAUGCAGAUUUUGAUUCUGGAGGUCUGGGGUGGGUGCAAGAUUCUGCAUUUCUAACAAGCUC
rnacentral:miRNA from 1 species